rnacentral:lncRNA from 1 species
UCCCUGUCCCAACCCCUUCCAGGCUGAGCUCCUUGGAAGCACCAAGUGCCUGGGACCUCCCUUCUGAGUUCCCUGGAUUUGGCAUGGCGCCUGACUCAAGAACAUGCCCACCGAUGGCCACCCAAUAGGAGAGAGAUCUGGAGUUUGUUUCCUUAUAGACAAGGAAAGAAGAGCCCAAAGAAGUCAGAAGGGGACAGAUGUCCACUGUCCCUGCUGCCCCUCACCUGAUGGCCUCGAUCCACUGGUCGCGCUCCUCGGCAUUGGCAGCUGAGAUGCGGUGUACUGUGGCCCCAUGUAAGGGACAGAACCCACAGAAGAUGAGCCUCCAUUUUCAAAUGCUGAAGAGAACACUGCAAUGUGAAGGAGCCGGAAGGGUGAGGACUGGGGACCUGCAGCUUUCGACUCUCGGUCCUGUCCCAGAAAGCCUAUCUCCCUUCUCAGAAAUGCCUUUUUCUUCCUUAGUAAACUCCUAUCACUAUC